GAUGAACGCUGGCGGCGUGCCUAAUACAUGCAAGUCGAGCGAACAGACGAGGAGCUUGCUCCUCUGACGUUAGCGGCGGACGGGUGAGUAACACGUGGAUCACCUACCUAUAAGACUGGGAUAACUUCGGGAAACCGGAGCUAAUACCGGAUAAUAUAUUGAACCGCAUGGUUCAAUAGUGAAAGACGGUUUUGCUGUCACUUAUAGAUGGAUCCGCGCCGCAUUAGCUAGUUGGUAAGGUAACGGCUUACCAAGGCGACGAUGCGUAGCCGACCUGAGAGGGUGAUCGGCCACACUGGAACUGAGACAAGGUCCAGACUCCUAAGGGAGGCAGCAGUAGGGAAUCUUCCGCAAUGGGCGAAAGCCUGACGGAGCAACGCCGCGUGAGUGAUGAAGGUCUUCGGAUCGUAAAACUCUGUUAUUAGGGAAGAACAAAUGUGUAAGUAACUAUGCACGUCUUGACGGUACCUAAUCAGAAAGCCACGGCUAACUACGUG
rnacentral:rRNA from 1 species